UGCAGUCGAGCGGUAGCACAGAGAGCUUGCUCUCGGGUGACGAGCGGCGGACGGGUGAGUAAUGUCUGGGAAACUGCCUGAUGGAGGGGGAUAACUACUGGAAACGGUAGCUAAUACCGCAUAAUGUCGCAAGACCAAAGUGGGGGACCUUCGGGCCUCAUGCCAUCAGAUGUGCCCAGAUGGGAUUAGCUAGUAGGUGGGGUAACGGCUCACCUAGGCGACGAUCCCUAGCUGGUCUGAGAGGAUGACCAGCCACACUGGAACUGAGACACGGUCCAGACUCCUACGGGAGGCAGCAGUGGGGAAUAUUGCACAAUGGGCGCAAGCCUGAUGCAGCCAUGCCGCGUGUGUGAAGAAGGCCUUCGGGUUGUAAAGCACUUUCAGCGGGGAGGAAGGCGAUAAGGUUAAUAACCUUGUCGAUUGACGUUACCCGCAGAAGAAGCACCGGCUAACUCCGUGCCAGCAGCCGCGGUAAUACGGAGGGUGCAAGCGUUAAUCGGAAUUACUGGGCGUAAAGCGCACGCAGGCGGUCUGUCAAGUCGGAUGUGAAAUCCCCGGGCUCAACCUGGGAACUGCAUUCGAAACUGGCAGGCUAGAGUCUUGUAGAGGGGGGUAGAAUUCCAGGUGUAGCGGUGAAAUGCGUAGAGAUCUGGAGGAAUACCGGUGGCGAAGGCGGCCCCCUGGACAAAGACUGACGCUCAGGUGCGAAAGCGUGGGGAGCAAACAGGAUUAGAUACCCUGGUAGUCCACGCCGUAAACGAUGUCGAUUUGGAGGUUGUGCCCUUGAGGCGUGGCUUCCGGAGCUAACGCGUUAAAUCGACCGCCUGGGGAGUACGGCCGCAAGGUUAAAACUCAAAUGAAUUGACGGGGGCCCGCACAAGCGGUGGAGCAUGUGGUUUAAUUCGAUGCAACGCGAAGAACCUUACCUGGUCUUGACAUCCACAGAACUUAGCAGAGAUGCUUUGGUGCCUUCGGGAACUGUGAGACAGGUGCUGCAUGGCUGUCGUCAGCUCGUGUUGUGAAAUGUUGGGUUAAGUCCCGCAACGAGCGCAACCCUUAUCCUUUGUUGCCAGCGGUUAGGCCGGGAACUCAAAGGAGACUGCCAGUGAUAAACUGGAGGAA
rnacentral:rRNA from 1 species